UAAGGAAUAUUGGUCAAUGGACGCAAGUCUGAACCAGCCAUGCCGCGUGAAGGAUGAAGGUCCUCUGGAUUGUAAACUUCUUUUAUCUGGGACGAAAACGGGAUUUUUAUCUCAAUUGACGGUACCAGAGGAAUAAGCACCGGCUAACUCCGUGCCAGCAGCCGCGGUAAUACGGAGGGUGCGAGCGUUAUCCGGAUUUACUGGGUUUAAAGGGUGCGUAGGUGGGCUUAUAAGUCAGUGGUGAAAUCUCCGAGCUUAACUUGGAAACUGCCGGUGAUACUAUAGGUCUUGAAUUAUCUGGAGGUAAGCGGAAUAUGUCAUGUAGCGGUGAAAUGCUUAGAUAUGACAUAGAACACCAAUUGCGAAGGCAGCUUACUACAUAUAAAUUGACGCUGAGGCACGAAAGCGUGGGGAUC
rnacentral:rRNA from 1 species